rnacentral:rRNA from 1 species
CUAACUGGGGCAUAGCCCGAAGAAAUUCGGAUUACUUUCCCAUAUUAUUCAAUGAUCGCAUGAUGAUUGAAUGAAAGCUCCGGCGGUUAGAGAUGGGCAUGCGGGUCAUUAGCUUGUUGGUGAGGUAACGGCUCACCAAUGCUGCGAUGACUAGGGGGCCUGAGAGGGUGAUCCCCCACACUGGUAACUGAGACACGGACCAGACUUCUACGGAAUGCAGCAGUGAGGAAUAUUGGGCAAUGGAGGCAACUCUGACCCAGCCAUGCCGCGUGCAGGAUGACGGCCCUAUGGGUUGUAAACUGCUUUUCUGAGAGAAGAAUCCCCCCGAAUUUUCGGGGGUUGCCGGUAUCUCAGGAAUAAGCAUCGGCUAACUCCGUGCCAGCAGCCGCGGUAAUACGGAGGAUGCAAGCGUUAUCCGGAUUCAUUGGGUUUAAAGGGUGCGUAGGCGGGAAAGUAAGUCAGUGGUGAAAGCCUGCAGCUCAACUGUGGAACUGCCAUUGAUACUGCUUUUCUUGAGUUUGGUUGAGGUAGGCGGAAUGUGUAAUGUAGCGGUGAAAUGCUUAGAUAUUACACAGAACACCGAUUGCGAAGGCAGCUUACUAAACCGAUACUGACGCUGAUGCACGAAAGCGUGGGGAGCGAACGGGAUUAGAUACCCUGGUAGUCCACGCUGUAAACUAUGAUCACUCGCUGUUGGCAAUACAUCGUCAGCGGCUGAGCGAAAGCAUUAAGUGAUCCACCUGGGGAGUACGGUCGCAAGAUUGAAACUCAAAGGAAUUGACGGGGGCCCGCACAAGCGGUGGAACAUGUGGUUUAAUUCGAUGAUACGCGAGGAACCUUACCUGGGCUUAAAUGUAGACUGCAUUUCCGGGAAACCGGAAUUUCCUUCGGGACCGUCUACAAGGUGCUGCAUGGUUGUCGUCAGCUCGUGCCGUGAGGUGUCGGGUUAAGUCCCAUAACGAGCGCAACCCCUAUCGUUAGUUGCCAGCGAGUAAUGUCGGGGACUCUAGCGAAACUGCCGGUGUAAACCGAGAGGAAGGUGGGGAUGACGUCANAUCAGCACGGCCCUUAUGUCCAGGGCUACACACGUGUUACAAUGGUCAGUACAAAGGGCAGCUACCUGGUGACAGGAUGCUAAUCUCGA